ACUGCUUCUGUGUGGCAUUCAUAAAGUGAGGAGCCACUCCCUCAGCCCCUCUACUUGUCCCUCAUCCACAUCCCUGCAAUACAAUGACAAAGACAGGGAAUAUCCUUGCCCUGACACACUCCACAGUGCUCACAGAAAUGGGCACACAGUCCCAAGGUGGUCUGGGGUAUAAAAGUGCUUUAGCUUCAUUGGGACAUUGAGCGCCAAGGGGAUUCUAUUCCCUGAAACUAGACAACUGGCUUCUGGCAAGCUUGUUCUUUCCUGUGCCAAGGGUGCUGGAAGAGGGGCACCAGAGCCCUCUGCUCCUGAUGUGCCUUCUGGCCUUUAGCUGACAGCAUCCUCUGCUCCUGUGUUUCUGUCUAACCCUCUCUAUGUCCUGCUUGGUCUGCCCUAUCUUUGUGAAAACUCACAUUGUCUGAACAAGGGGAAGAUCUAGACUGGAUGGUUUAUAGAGGAUGGUCCUAUCCCUUUGAUUAACAGACCCUUUCAGACUGCUAGGAAGGUUUGGUGGAACUGGGUUGGAACUGAAUGACCUUGUGCUAAGCCCUCAUCUUUUCCACCUCUUCUGUCCUCCCCUCUGCAUUCACACCUCAGGGUGUGUGGAGAUCCAACCCCACUGGAAGGGCCAGAUACCUCAAGGAAGAUGGAUCCUACCUGCUCUGUGGAUUUUGGGCUGAUGAGCCUGAAGCACCAGCCCAGGCCUGGUCUGAGACUGUGAAAUGUACAAUCCAGCAGCCCGUCUGCUGUGCUGAGGCCAAUGUGGUGGAAGACCUUUCCUACAAAAAGGAGGAAGGGGAGGUGGCAACUGCAGUCCAGGCUGAGCCUAUCCCCAGGGUGUGUGGAGAUCCACCCCCACUGGAAGGGCCAGAUGUCAUUGUGCCUAUCCUCAAGGAUGAUGGUUCCUAUGUGCUCUGUGCAUAUUGGGCAGAUGAGCCUGAAGCACCAGCCCAGGUCUGGGCUGAGGCCUGGCAUGCAAAAACCCAGCAGUCCAUCUGCUGUGCUGAGGCUUUUUGGGUGAGUCAUUAGAUGUGAAUCUUGCUGCAGACCUGUCAAAGUGCCCGAGUGGACUCCUGUGACCCAGGCCUGCUUGCUGUUACUCCCCAGGGAAAGGUGGUGAUGUGGCAGGCUGUCCCCUGGGCUAUAUCUGGAUGGACAGAGGCAGAACCCAUGGUGGAGUUUGCAGCACAGUUGUAGUGUGGCUGGUGUGUCUUGGCCUCAUAGUCCCAGGAUAUGCCCCCCUUUCUGACACUGACACUGACACUUGUUGUGCCUGAAGCACGUGAUGGGGCAUGGCCCCAGCUUUUGUUACUAAACUUUUGUUGCUGAACAAAUUAUUUACUCUUAAGUAUUUAUAUCUCAUUUGAGGGUUUUGGGAAAAAAUAUCUGUAUUCUUUCUGUUGGACUAUUAAGUCAAAUGGUUUGCAGAAUGUCUGACUUAGAAUUGUUUUGUAGAUUCUAGGUUUUCUUAGUAACUCAUGCACUGCAGACGAGCUGAGUUUUGUCCUAGUCUCUGUCACUGCUGAGCAGUGCCUCCAGACUCAGCUGGCAGCAGGCCCUGACCAAGACUCUCAUUUGGUUUCUUUCUGUCUCCCUCUCAGGUGCUAAGAACUUCCUCUGGUGGAUACCAUGAAACCUGACUCUGUUCAUUCCAGUACCCCAUUUAUAUUAAAGUUUGGUUUUGUUAAUUAUUUGGGUUGAAUAUUUUGCUCCAUAAUCUUUAAACCUCACAAAUACAUGGAUUAGUAUAACACUGGAACCUGGAAUUCUAGGUGUCUUCUGAUAACUGUAGUCAAGAUUGUUCCUAUGCCACAGGACGUGUCUACAUGCAUCAAGUCUAGUGAAAAAAACCAGACAUAGUCCAAUACCAUGUGAGUACAGGUUAAAGCAGACCUGCUGGGAGUGCACAGUAAGGAGGCAGUUCUAAGGUGAAUGCAAGAAUGCAUAUACUCAAGAUGAGCAUGAGAAUCUCUCAAGACAGUGAGGGAGUGUCAUUAGAAAGGUGUGUGGGACUCUUCUGG
ensembl:lncRNA